GGGGUUGUGGCGCUAGGGGUUAGCGCACUGGACUGUCGAUCCGGGGGUUGCGGGUUCGAGCCCCGUCGACCCCGCCA
rnacentral:tRNA from 1 species